GCUAACACGUAAGUGGAUGUAUAAGGUGUGACGCCUCGCCCGGUGCUCGAAGGUUAACUGAUGAUGUCAGCGCAAGCGAAGCAUUUGAUUGAAGCCCGAGUAAACGGCGGCCGUAACAAUAACGGUCCUAAGGUAGCGAAAUUCCUUGUCGGUUAAAUACCGACCUGCAUGAAUGGCGUAACGAGAUGGGAGCUGUCUCAACCAGGGAUCCAGUGAAAUUGUAGUGGAGGUGAAAAUUCCUCCUACCCGCGGAAAGACGGAAAGACCCCGUGCACCUUUACUACAGCUUGACACUGUAGCUUGGAUAUUCAUGUGCAGGAUAGGUGGGAGGCUAUGAUGACUAGACGCAAGUAGAGUCGGAGCCAUCCUUGAGAUACCACCCUUGAAUAUUUGAGUUACUAACUGCGUACAAUUAUCUUGUAUCAGGACAAUGUCUGGUGGGUAGUUUGACUGGGGC
rnacentral:rRNA from 1 species